rnacentral:rRNA from 1 species
UACGAAGGGGGCUAGCGUUGCUCGGAAUCACUGGGCGUAAAGGGCGCGUAGGCGGCCAUUCAAGUCAGAGGUGAAAGCCCAAGGCUCAACCUUGGAAUUGCCUUUGAUACUGUUUGGCUUGAGACCGGAAGAGGUUAGUGGAACUGCGAGUGUAGAGGUGAAAUUCGUAGAUAUUCGCAAGAACACCAGUGGCGAAGGCGGUUGCCUGGGGCUUUGCUGACGCUGAUGCGCGAAAGCGUGGGGAGCGAUCCGG